rnacentral:lncRNA from 1 species
GUAAAAGGGGACGCGGAGGAGAAGGAAAGUCGCUCAAGCAGUGGACAGAGCGGAGAAAGCGACUUCGGGUUGGUUGAAGGUUCAGCCUGAGAAAACUCCUGAGCAUGUGCGAAAAAGAAAAGAAGAAAAGAAAAGUAAAGAAAAGAAAAAAGGAAAAAGGGCAAGCUCCUGAGUGGAUCUCUCAGGGAGCCACCAGACAGCCGCAGAGAGAAGAAGCUGCCCAAGAAUGGAAAGGAAGAAAUAUAUCACAUCAUCUGUCUGUCCACAGGCUUUCCUUGGGGCUUAUGAAGUGAAUGAAGGAGGGAAGAAAGGAGAGACAGAGAAAAUAUGGUAUGCAGCUGGCAUCAGAAGCUGGAAGAUAGGAUCUUCCCGGAUCACAGCUCCUGUUCAGAAAGUCUGAGGAUGUCAGACUGAGACUGUUGAGUCUGAGGAUGUCAGACUGAGAUUGUUGAGUCUCAGGAUGUUGCAGGACAGGAUGGAUGAAGAAUGCUAGUCCUGGCAGUUGGGGCCUAAGGCCAGGGCCCUUUUUUAUCACUUUCUUGUGUUGCCUCUCUGCCCAAGAAAAAAUCUGUCUCUUGCAUACAGCUCCUCUAAUACGUGUCCAUUAGAAGGAAGGAGUUUCUUUAAUGAGCUCUAUGGUUUUAUCUUGCUCAUAACAGCUUAGUUUAAUGCCACUGAAACUGUAACAUUUUUUUGUGCCUAAUAUCAACUGACAAAUAUAAAGUUAUUCCUAAUUUAUUAAUUCAAAUGAUAUAUUGCAAAAUAAAAUCUGCUUAAUAUGAAAAGAAGUAA